rnacentral:rRNA from 1 species
GACGUAGGGGGCCAGCGUUGUUCGGAAUUACUGGGUGUAAAGGGUUCGUAGGCGGUGCGGCAAGUUGGGAGUGAAAUCUCUGGGCUUAACCCAGAGGCUGCUUCCAAAACUGCUGUGCUUGAGUGUGGGAGAGGCGCGUGGAAUUGCAGGUGUAGCGGUGAAUGCGUAGAUAUCUGCAGGAACACCGUGGCGAAGCGGCGCGCUGGACCACUACUGACGCUGAGGGAAACGAAGCUAGGGAGCAAACAGG